ACAACGCAGGCGGACGUGUCAAGUCAGAUGUGAAACCAGGGCUUAACUCCUGGCCUGCAUUUGAAACUGAUAGUCUUGAGUACCGGAGAGGAUGGCGGAAUUCCUGGUGUAGCGGUGAAAUGCGUAGAUAUCAGGAAGAACACCGGUGGCGAAGGCGGCCAUCUGGACGGAUACUGACGCUCAGGUGCGAAGGCUAGGGGAGCAAACA
rnacentral:rRNA from 1 species